UCAGCAAUGAAGUUAUUGCAU
rnacentral:piRNA from 1 species